UCUGGGGGAGUUGAUUCCUGUCCUGGUGACUGACAGGCCAGCCAGCUGGCUUAACCUCCCCAUCUCUUUUAUUUCUUUUUAGAUUUAUUUUACAGGUAUGAGGGUUCUUCCUGAAUGUCUGUAUAUGCACCACACGUGUUGCCUGGGGCCUGCAGAAGAGAGAAGAGGGUGUUGGAUCCCCUGGAACUGAGUUACAGAUGGUUACAUGCUGUGGGUGCUGAAAAUUGAACUUGGGUCCUCUGCAAGAACCACAAGAGGCCAGGCUGUGGUGGAGCAUGACUUUAAUCCCAGCACUCAGAAGGCAGAGGCAAGUGGAUCUCUGUGAGUUCGUGGCCAGCCUGGUCUACAGAACGAGUUCUAGGACAGCCAGGGCUACACAGCAGGACCCUGUCUUGAAAAACAACAGCAGCAACAACAGAAGAAUCGGUUCUCUCCUUCCCUCAGGUUCACGAGGAAAACAUUCAAGCUCCAUCAAAGGUCACCUCUGGAGGACUGACCAUGCCUUGCUGUAAACACUCCCCAAGCUUCUGAAGUCACCAGCUAUGGAAGGAAAUGAGCUGUUUGGAAGCAUUGCAGUGGAUUUCCCCAGCAUCAGAGCUAUUCAGGGCUGAGUCACUCCUCCCCUCUGGGCUUUCCCUGACACUCCAGUAAGACUGUUGGGCCUGCCUGGGUGACAGGAGGGUCAGGAACAGAAGCUGAUGGGGCAACAAGAGCCCGUGUUCAGUCUCCAGCACCCUCCCUCAACAAGCCUCCAAUAGACGCAGAGGUCGAGGAGCUGGGAGUGAGGGAGGGGACAGCCACUGGACCAGCAAUGAGGACAGAUGAAGCCACUGUGACAAGAGUGGGGGGUGUCUUCGCUUUGCUGGGACUGAGACGUCUGCCUUUCCAGUGGUACAGCCUGGGGUAGUACACAAGGCUGGCACGGAGGCACUGGGGUGCUGGGCUCCAGGCAUCCUUAUAUCCUGUUGCUUGCUCACACACUCUCAAGACACAAAGGACAAUCUGUUUGUCAUCCAGACAGACAGAAGAAUGCAGGGGAGAGCGCAAACACAGUCCCCCACUACCACAAAUUAUGCAGUCGAGUUUCCCCAAAUUUGGGGAAAUCACAGGGGUCAGCACAUCUGGAUUGCAAUGGAUAAGCCUCGCCCUGGGAAAACCACCUUUGUGAUCAUGGUAUCUCCCCUGCCAGAGGAUGUCCAAGGUGACAGCGUGUGUGGGUUUAUGUCGCAUGAAGUGGGACAGUCAUCGUGAGAGGAGCCCUUGCUGACCUGAGAGAAGCAGGCAUCCAAAGAGUAAGAGACCAUGGGACAAGGAAGUGAGAGAGGCCUUUGGCUAACAGUUGGAUUCUGUCAACGGCCUUGUGAGCUUGGAGGAAGAUUCUCCUCCCUAGUUGAGCCCCAGGUGAGACUGCAGCCCCAGCCAGUAUGACUAGCACUGUGCUUACUGCCUUGUGAGGUCCCAUGGUACAGGAGGGCUUCUGGCUGAACUUUUUGUGCUCACAAAAUGUCCCGACCCUCAGAAACUGUGAGUUAGCAAAUAUCUGUUGUUUUAAGCUACUAAGGCUGUGGCCACCUAUUCUGCAGCAGCUGGCCACAGAUCCAUCAUCCCAUCCUCCUUAAAGCCACUGAUCCAUCAUCCCACCCUCCUUAAAGAUAUGGAUCCAUUGUCCCAUCCACAGUCACAGAUCCAUCAUCCCAUCCUCCUUAAAAACAUGGGUCCAGCCGGGCGGUGGUGGUGCACGCCUUUAAUCCCAGCACUCGGGAGGCAGAGCCAGGCGGAUCUCUGUGAGUUCGAGGCCAGCCUGGUCUCCAAAGCGAGUUCCAGGAAAGGCGCAAAGCUACACAGAGAAACCCUGUCUCGAAAAACCAAAAAAAAAAAAACAUGGGUCCAUUAUCCCAUCCACAGCCACAGGUCCAUCAUCCCACCUGCCUUAAAGCCAUGGAUCCAUCAUCCCAUCCUCUUUAAACAGCCUCUUCCCAAUUUAACUACCUGGAUGCAUCUUCUUUGGUGGAGUAGGCAUGCUGCCCUUGGCUUUCCCAGAAUUCCUUUCUUUUUCUUCUUACAUACUCCAUUUUCAAGUGGGAAACCAGUCCCCCUGCUCUACUUUGGUACAUUUUAUCCCUAUGAAGCUGCCUUUGCUCUGGGAAAUCCAGGGCUUGACACAUGACCCUGGAGUCCAUCAAUCAGAAGUCUUCAUUCAUUUGGCUAUGAUUGAGCGGCUCAAGGCUGAGCAGGUGGCCCAAGCUGUGCUCUCAGAGUUAACUCUGGACUUUCUCCCACAUUUGCUAAACAGAUAGAUUAUAGUACCAUAUCUCCAGGUCAUUUGUGCUACUGUGGAGGGGGGAUGUAUGUAUGCACCUUAGUCUGGGCCCCAUAGAAGGGAAAGUGAAUAGAGACAGAUAUGGGAGACAAAGGUCUCACGAUAUUGCUCACUGGAGCACCUGGAUGCCAUCAUGCCUGAAAGUAGAGAUCUACCCCAGGAUGUUGCCCUGAUGCAAGACAAUGCAUCCCAUUGUUUCUUUGAGCUUAUUGAGUCUAGUCGCUGUUGGCAGAUGAAAAAAAGAAAGUCCACUUUGGUGCACAUGUCUCUCUAAAUAAAUAUAAAAUCCAGUGAUAGCCCUUGUAUUAGGUUUCUAUUGCUGUGGUAAAAGCCAUAACCAUAACCAAAAGCUUACAACGCUCAGGCCACACUCCUGAUUGAAGUCGCAGCACAAGAACUCAAGGCAGGAGUACGAAGUCAGGAACUAAAGCAGAUGCCUAGUGCUGCUUACUGCCAUGCCUCCUAUGGCUGCCUCAGCCUGCUGUCUUAUACAACCCAGGACUGCGUGCCAGAGCUGGUACCACCCACAGUGGGCUGGGUCCUCCUGUACCAAUCACUGAUGAAGAAAAUGCCCCACAGGCCUUGCCUACAGGUAAUCUGAGGAAGGCAACCCUUCAAAUAAGAUUUCCUCUUGAAGCCUUUAAACCCAGCCACUCGGGAGGCAGAGCCAGGCAGAUCUCUGUGAGUUCGAGGCCAGCCUGGUCUACAGAGUGAGAUUCCUCUUUCCAGAUGACUCUAGCUGUGUCUAACCAGCAGGCCCUCCUCAGGGUCACCUUCCUUGGCCCACAGUGGCUCUUCCCUAUGUCUAUCCCUUCCACUCAGCAUCCGCUUCCUCCCACCUCUCCUGGUCUUUAGCGUUUCAAACCUGAGUUUUUCAACUCAAGCAAGGUUUGAAGCACUCUUUGAAAGGGAAUGACAGGCAUUUCAUCAGGUGAAAGCAGGAGGGUCAGCAGUUCAAGACCCACCAGGGCUACCUACAUAAGACCCUGUCUCAAAAAAAAAGGGGGGGGGGGUCUGGAAAAAUGGAUUCUCAGUGGUUCAAUUCCCAGCACACACAUGAUGACUCACAAUUGUAACUCCAGUUCCAAGGGAUUCAAUGCCUUCUUCUGAACUCCCCAGGCACCAGGUGCUCAGGUGGUACACACACAUACAUGCGUACAUGUAUAUGCAUACACAUACAUGCAGGCAAAAUACUCAUGCACAUGAAAUAUUCAUACACGUAAAAUAAAACCAAUAAAUCUUGAGGCAGGAGAGAUGACUCGGCAGUUAAGAGCACUCAUUGCUCUUGUGGAGGACCCAAGGCCAAUUCCCACCACCCACAACCAUUCACAACUCUGGUUUGAGGGUAUUCAAUGCUCUCUUCUGACCUCUACAGGCACCAAACACACACGCAUGUGGUAUGCAUAUGCAGGCAAAGCAGUCAUAAAGUAAGAUAAAUAAAUCUAAUUUAAAUAUUUUAAAAGAAAUCUUAAACACAUACACACACACACACACACACACACACACACACACACACACACACGUGCCAGCAUGAUGGCUCAACAGAUAAUGGUGCUCACCGUUCAC